rnacentral:snRNA from 1 species
GUGCUCACUUUGGUAGCACAUGUACUAAAAUUGGAAGGAUACAGAGAAGAUUAGCGUGGCCUCUGGGCAAGGAUGACAGGCAAAUUGGUGAAGCAUUCCAUAUGUUU